ACGAGUUUUGUAUUAAGCAAACGCAAAAAUCUAGCCAUUGCAAUUUUUAUGAUAAAAAAAGGUUCACCAGAGGAAGACAGGAUAGCAGUAGCGGAGCUUAGCAGUGUAUACCACGGACUGCUUCACGGUCACAGCUAAUUAUCUACGGAUUGAGGACUUGGGUGAGGAGACCAUGUUAGCCAUGUCUGACACACACAUCCAGGAGGAGCUAAAUCAACCACUCUCCCCACCC